CAAGGUUUCCGUAGGUGAACCUGCGGAAAGAUCAUG
rnacentral:rRNA from 1 species